rnacentral:rRNA from 1 species
GCAGUGUACGUGCUGGGCGCCGUGGGAAUCCGUAGGGGGGAGGCGUUGUCCGCAUUGAUUGGGCUGAAAGAGCUGUUAGGCGUCCAGGCAGGUCCGCUGUGAAAACUCGAGGCGCAACGUCGAGACGUCGGUGGAAACCGCCUGGCUAUAGUCCGGAAGAGGAGAGUGGAAUUCCCGGUGUAGCGGUGAAAGGCGCAGAUAUCGGGAAGAACACCCGUGGCGAAGGCGGCUCUCUGGGACGGUACUGACGCUGAGACGCGAAAGCGUGGGGAGCGAACAGGAUUAGAUACCCUGGUAGUC